rnacentral:tRNA from 1 species
AUUCAAGUAAUUUAAGAAAAAUUUUAUUUUGUGGGAAUAAAUAUGUGAUUAUACACCUUGAAUA